GACGAACGCUGGCGGCGUGCUUAACACAUGCAAGUCGAGCGGUAAGGCCCUUCGGGGUACACGAGCGGCGAACGGGUGAGUAACACGUGGGUGAUCUGCCUCGUACUUCGGGAUAAGCCUGGGAAACUGGGUCUAAUACCGGAUAUGACCUUGGACUGCAUGGUCUUUGGUGGAAAGAUUUAUCGGUACGAGAUGGGCCCGCGGCCUAUCAGCUUGUUGGUGGGGUAACGGCCUACCAAGGCGACGGCGGGUAGCCGGCCUGAGAGGGCGACCGGCCACACUGGGACUGAGACACGGCCCAGACUCCUACGGGAGGCAGCAGUGGGGAAUAUUGCACAAUGGGCGAAAGCCUGAUGCAGCGACGCCGCGUGAGGGAUGACGGCCUUCGGGUUGUAAACCUCUUUCGACAGGGACGAAGCGCAAGUGACGGUACCUGUAGAAGAAGCACCGGCCAACUACGUGCCAGCCGCCGCCGUAAUAC
rnacentral:rRNA from 1 species